rnacentral:hammerhead_ribozyme from 1 species
ACCCGCCUGACGAAUCCGAAAUAGGACGAAACGCGCGUUCUGGAU